UACGAAGGGGGCUAGCGUUGCUCGGAUUGACUGGGCGUAAAGGGCGCGUAGGCGGUUUGCACAGUCAGACGUGAAAUUCCUGGGCUUAACCUGGGGGCUGCGUUUGAUACGUGCAGGCUUGAGUUCGGAAGAGGGUCGUGGAAUUCCCAGUGUAGAGGUGAAAUUCGUAGAUAUUGGGAAGAACACCAGUGGCGAAGGCGGCUCGCUGGACCGGUUCUGACGCUGAGGCGCGAAAGCGUGGGGAGCAAACAGG
rnacentral:rRNA from 1 species